AGACCCGAAACCCGGUGAUCUAGCCAUGGGCAGGUUGAAGGUUGGGUAACACUAACUGGAGGACCGAACCGACUAAUGUUGAAAAAUUAGCGGAUGACCUGUGGCUGGGGGUGAAAGGCCAAUCAAACCGGGAGAUAGCUGGUUCUCCCCGAAAGCUAUUUAGGUAGCGCCUCGUGAAUUCAUCUCCGGGGGUAGAGCACUGUUUCGGCUAGGGGGCCAUCCCGGCUUACCAACCCGAUGCAAACUGCGAAUACCGGAGAAUGUUAUCACGGGAGACACACGGCGGGUGCUAACGUCCGUCGUGAAGAGGGAAACAACCCAGACCGCCAGCUAAGGUCCCAAAGUCAUGGUUAAGUGGGAAACGAUGUGGGAAGGCCCAGACAGCCAGGAUGUUGGCUUAGAAGCAGCCAUCAUUUAAAGAAAGCGUAAUAGCUCACUGGUCGAGUCGGCCUGCGCGGAAGAUGUAACGGGGCUAAACCAUGCACCGAAGCUGCGGCAGCGACACUGUGUGUUGUUGGGUAGGGGAGCGUUCUGUAAGCCUGCGAAGGUGGCCUGUGAGGGUUGCUGGAGGUAUCAGAAGUGCGAAUGCUGACAUAAGUAACGAUAAAGCGGGUGAAAAGCCCGCUCGCCGGAAGACCAAGGGUUCCUGUCCAACGUUAAUCGGGGCAGGGUGAGUCGACCCCUAAGGCGAGGCCGAAAGGCGUAGUCGAUGGGAAACGGGUUAAUAUUCCCGUACUUGGUGUUACUGCGAAGGGGGGACGGAGAAGGCUAUGUUGGCCGGGCGACGGUUGUCCCGGUUUAAGCGUGUAGGUGUGUGUUCCAGGUAAAUCCGGUUCACUUUAACACUGAGGCGUGACGACGAGGCACUACGGUGCUGAAGCAACAAAUGCCCUGCUUCCAGGAAAAGCCUCUAAGCAUCAGGUAACAUCAAAUCGUACCCCAAACCGACACAGGUGGUCAGGUAGAGAAUACCAAGGCGCUUGAGAGAACUCGGGUGAAGGAACUAGGCAAAAUGGUGCCGUAACUUCGGGAGAAGGCACGCUGACAUGUAGGUGAAGUGAUUUACUCAUGGAGCUGAAGUCAGUCGAAGAUACCAGCUGGCUGCAACUGUUUAUUAAAAACACAGCACUGUGCAAACACGAAAGUGGACGUAUACGGUGUGACGCCUGCCCGGUGCCGGAAGGUUAAUUGAUGGGGUCAGCGCAAGCGAAGCUCCUGAUCGAAGCCCCGGUAAACGGCGGCCGUAACUAUAACGGUCCUAAGGUAGCGAAAUUCCUUGUCGGGUAAGUUCCGACCUGCACGAAUGGCGUAAUGAUGGCCAGGCUGUCUCCACCCGAGACUCAGUGAAAUUGAACUCGCUGUGAAGAUGCAGUGUACCCGCGGCAAGACGGAAAGACCCCGUGAACCUUUACUAUAGCUUGACACUGAACAUUGAGCCUUGAUGUGUAG
rnacentral:rRNA from 1 species